rnacentral:lncRNA from 1 species
GCGCGGUCCCGUGGCUUGCCCGUUAAACCUGGCUGAGUUAAAACUGUUACUGUCGCGAGGAGCUCCGACCGUGCCCACCGCGAGGACACGUCAAAUCACAGUUGUACUCUCUCCUUUCGCAGGGUCAGAUCAACGGAGUCCAACAUCUUCGUGGCAUAACAGAAGCGGUUCUGGAACGGGAAAGAACGCUUAAGUCGUUUUAUGGAGGCUUGUGGGACGCAACGAAACAUUUCUUAAAGUGUUGGCACUGAGGAUAUCAGUCCAGAUCCACCUUUAAUUCGGAACAUAGUCUUGUUUGGAUUUCAGCCUGUUUGAAAUGUGGCGUUAUGUGCUCGAGAUAAAUGUGCUAUGUGUGUGAUUUGGAGAGGAUCUUGUGGAAGGUGUCCAGUGGGAAAGAGACUGGGUGGACUCAUCUGCAACUGAUCGCCGUUUUCUGAGCGCAAUGGACUUGGAAUGAAGACAAAACAUGGAUAUAAUCUGGGAAAUAUUUAUUAUCCUUCAAGCCAAUCUCAUCGUUUGCACUUCAGCUCCUCGUGAGAGGUUUGUGGAACGCGUCCAGCAGCACGCCCACGCGAGAACUGGACAUUGAUGGCAACCCAGCGCGCAACACAUCCGUCUUUCUCAUGAUGCGUGGGACAGGCAACGUAAACGUCCUUGACCAGUGUUUAUGGCCUCUGAGAGCUUCCCUUUUUAGUAGCUUCAUGUAAAUGCUCACCAUCAUCCACGAGGUUUCUAAUAUGGCAAGCCAGAUUGUUAGGUUGAUUUGGAAUAAUAAUUUUUACUUGUGGAUCACACCUUUUCGAAAGUGACAUUACAGGUGAGCACAUUUAGUAUGUGUGAGUGGUUUGUUUUUACUUUAUUAGACAUUAAUUUGCAUGCAUGUAUAUGUGCAUUUAUUUAUGUUUAUUUUUUUGUAUUUCUAAUGUUAUCAUGACAUCAGUUGUAAUGAGCAUGAUGAUUAUGGUUUAGCAGGGCCCUUAAGUCUGAUGAGAUUACUGCCAUUUUUGUCUCCUCUUCCACUUAUAGUUAAUGUGAAUUGUUGUUCACAACUCCUUUUACUUCUAGAAUGUGUAAUUCAGAAAGACAGGACUUAAAUGUUAUCCACUGGCAAUAGAUUGGAUUGUGAAAAGUGGGCAUUACAUAUCAAAGCAGAGCAAAAAGGAAUGUCGGUUUGCUUUUUGGUAUUCGGUUAACGCUACCCAGUAGCACACAGCCCAAGUGACGUCAAUGGAUAAGGAUCUUUCAGAGGAACUAGUUUUUAAAAAUGUGAUUAAUGAUUAUGAUGGCAGCCUUUUUAACGUCAGAAUAACAUGCAAAAUGAAUAAGAUAAUUAAAAAUGAAUGUGC